rnacentral:rRNA from 1 species
UGCCAGACUCCUACGGGAGGCAGCAGUAGGGAAUUUUGCGCAAUGGGGGAAACCCUGACGCAGCAACACCGCGUGAAUGUUAAGCCCUUCGGGGUGUAAAGUUCUGUCAAUAGGGACGAAUUUUGACUGUACCUAUAAAGGAAGCACCGGCUAACUCCGUGCCAGCAGCCGCGGUAAUACGGGGGGUGCAAGCGUUGUCCGGAAUCAUUGGGCGUAAAGAGCGCGUAGGCGGGAUAGCAAGUCAGAUGUGAAAUCCUAUGGCUUAACCAUAGAACUGCAUUUGAAACUGUUAUUCUAGAGUAUGGGAGAGGUAGGUGGAAUUCUUGGUGUAGGGGUAAAAUCCGUAGAGAUCAAGAGGAAUACUCAUUGCGAAGGCGACCUGCUAGAACAUAACUGACGCUGAUGCGCGAAAGCGUGGGGAGCAAACAGGAUUAGAUACCCUUGUAC